rnacentral:rRNA from 1 species
GCACCUUCGGUGUCCGAGUUGUAAUCUCUAGAAAUGUUUUCCGCGUUGGACCGCACACAAGUCUGUUGGAAUACAGCGGCAUAGUGGUGAGACCCCCGUAUAUGGUGCGGACGCCCAGCGCUUUGUGAUACAUUUUCGAAGAGUCGAGUUGUUUGGGAAUGCAGCUCAAAUUGGGUGGUAAAUUCCAUCUAAAGCUAAAUAUUGGCGAGAGACCGAUAGCGAACAAGUACCGUGAGGGAAAGAUGAAAAGCACUUUGGAAAGAGAGUUAACAGUACGUGAAAUUGUUGGAAGGGAAACGCUUGAAGUCAGACUUGCUUGCCGAGCAAUCGGUUUGCAGGCCAGCAUCAGUUUUCCGGGAUGGAUAAUGGUAGAGAGAAGGUAGCAGUUUCGGCUGUGUUAUAGCUCUCUGCUGGAUACAUCUUGGGGGACUGAGGAACGCAGUGUGCCUUUGGCGGGGGUUUCGACCUCUUCACACUUAGGAUGCUGGUGGAAUGGCUUUAAACGAC